rnacentral:rRNA from 1 species
GUGCCAGCCGCCGCGGUAAUACCGGCAGCACAAGUGAUGGCCGAUCUUAUUGGGCCUAAAGCGUCCGUAGCCGGCCGGACAAGUCCGUUGGGAAAUCCACGCGCUCAACGCGUGGGCGUCCAGCGGAAACUGUUCGGCUUGGGGCCGGAGGACCCGAGGGGUACGUCCGGGGUAGGAGUGAAAUCCUGUAAUCCUGGACGGACCGCCGGUGGCGAAAGCACUUCGAGAAAACGGAUCCGACAGUGAGGGACGAAAGCCAGGGUCUCCAACCGGAUUAGAUACCCGGGUAGUCC